ACAAGGAGCUAUCAUCAGCCCAUCAAACAUGAGAAAGCUCUCUCUCUCUCUCUCUCUCUCUAGAGGACGAAGGAGGUAAAGAAAGACUCCACUGGAGGAAGAAGAAAGCCAAGAACGAGCCGCAGGAGAAGUGUAGAUGCUGGGAAGAGGAGAAAUACACAGAUGGAUCCAAAUGGAGGUUUCUGGAGCACAAAGGGCCCGUGUUUCCCCCACCAUAUGAACCCCUGCCAAACUGUAUCAGGUUUUAUUAUGAUGGAAAGGCCAUCAAGCUGAGCCCUGCAGCAGAGGAAGUGGCCACGUUUUAUGCUAAAAUUAUUGCAGUAACAAUUACUACAUUAAGAGUACUUUUGAAGUGUCAGUAAUUUAUCCAAGUGUUUUUCUUUAGGAAACUUUAAUGCAUAAUAUUGUACU